GAUGAAGAACGUAGCGAAAUGCGAUAAGUAAUGUGAAUUGCAGAAUUCAGUGAAUCAUCGAAUCUUUGAACGCACAUUGCGCCCGCCAGUAUACUGGCGGGCAUGCCUGUUCGAGCGUCAUUACAACCCUCAGGCCCCCGGGCCUGGCGUUGGGGAUCGGCGGAGCCCCCCGUGGGCACACGCCGUCCCCCAAAUGCAGUGGCGGUCCCGCCGCAGCUUCCAUCGCGUAGUAGCUAACACCUCGCGACUGGAGAGCGGCGCGGCCACGCCGUAAAACACCCAACUCUUCUGAAGUUGACCUCGAAUCAGGUAGGAAUACCCGCUGAACUUAAGCAUAUCAAUAAGCGGAGGA
rnacentral:misc_RNA from 1 species